UGCAGGUCAGCGCCCGUCAAGCAAGAAACACUGCUCCUGGCAAACGUCUCCUUCAUCUGCACAGAGCGACAACAUUGAGAAGAACAUGGAACAAUUAGCGCGGACGUCUCUGUUCACCUCCGGUCAAACACGCCCGAUGCAGGUUUCAUUUCUCCAUAUGCUGCUGCUGCAUCUCGCCUGGAUUAAUGAUUAAUUUCUGUAAACACAGACUGAGGGUUGACUUGGACUGAGUCCAGGUAACCAAAGGACUCUGGCUUCACCAAAACAAGCAGGGCUUUGACUUGAAGAGCGCCGAACUGUUUGUGUGAGAGAGAAAGAGAAAAGACGAGAAGGACGAGCCCGAGACAGACAGGAGCAGAGCCAAAGCUUUCUUUGAAUUUAUUUCCCCAGACGUCUGAAAGCUGUUGGUUGUCGUCCUGCUUCAGUUUACAGUGAGUGAGGAAGCUCAGAGAACGGCCCCGGAUACACAAAAUCACUGAUGAGGAAAAUAUCCAACCAGGAGCCCUCACGUACCAGGACGUCUUUGGCUUCACAGACGGACUCUGUUUGAUUGUCUACACGUUCUGGUCCAGCCAGUGGAUGUAGCUGUUCAUGCUCCGCUCUCCAACACUGGACAUCAUCGGCAGGAAUGCAAACACCAUGCAGCCAUGAAAACCGUCCUCAUAGUGAUCGCUGGUCACUGUGACCCCGGCGUCCUGCAGGCGCUUGGCAUACAUGAGCCCGUCGUCCCUCAGCACGUCAAACUCACAGGUCAUCACGUAUGCUUUAGGCGUCCUACCCAGAACCCCCUGGUCCGCCAGCAGCGGUGCCGCCCUCACAUCCAUCAGCGCCGGCACCUCACCCAACACCCCCGGCGAUCCUGUUUCUUUAACAACCGGACGGAACUGCUUCCUGCGCUCGCCCGGGAGCAAAGAGGUCCAGUCCAGUUUGGAGCGGGUGUCGGCACUGAUGGCCGGCUGGUCCAGGGAGCUGUGGUUGUUCGCGAGCAGGACGGGCUCCAGGGAGGAGUCGGCACCCAGGUACUGCAGCCAGAAACGAGCCAUGACAGGCCUGUAGAGGAUGGGCACGGCCUGGUUCUGCUGGUAGGACGGGGUGUAGAAGUCGAGAGCCUGCAGCACCGGGUAGAUCAGCGCCUGGGCCUUGAACUUCACGGUCAGGCUGUCAUCUGAGCUGAGCUGCGGAUACAGCAGCAGCCAGGUUUCCUCCGGCGCUGUCUCCGGACACACACACCCGCUCUGGAUCGAUGCCGUACCGCUCUAAUACCUCAGCAGACAGGAAGGCCCGCGACGCCGCCAACGCAUCGUGGUACUGAUCUGGGAACACCGCCUCCGGAGCAAGACGACAUGAUGACAGCGUCCAGGUCCUUCGCCAUUUUCCGGCAAAGAAGAUCAUAGGAUCGCAUUCCUGUGAAGCAAGAUGCUGGCAGUGUGUUAUACUGUAUGCGCUGAACUUUAAUGACCUCCAGCCACCGCAUUCAGCUCAUCUUUAUAUUCAAUACACAACACAAAAGUUAGUUAACAUUAUUUCUUCAGUUUUAAAUCCAGCACUCACGGCCGCUGG